AUCCUGGCUCAGGAUGAACGCUGGCGGCGUGCCUAAUACAUGCAAGUCGAGCGAACUGAUUAGAAGCUUGCUUCUAUGACGUUAGCGGCGGACGGGUGAGUAACACGUGGGCAACCUGCCUGUAAGACUGGGAUAACUUCGGGAAACCGAAGCUAAUACCGGAUAGGAUCUUCUCCUUCAUGGGAGAUGAUUGAAAGAUGGUUUCGGCUAUCACUUACAGAUGGGCCCGCGGUGCAUUAGCUAGUUGGUGAGGUAACGGCUCACCAAGGCACGAUGCAUAGCCGACCUGAUAGGGUGAUCGGCCACACUGGGAUUGAGACACGGCCCAGACUCCUACGGGAGGCAGCAGUAGGGAAUCUUCCGCAAUGGACGAAAGUCUGACGGAGCAACGCCGCGUGAGUGAUGAAGGCUUUCGGGUCGUAAAACUCUGUUGUUAGGGAAGAACAAGUACGAGAGUAACUGCUCGUACCUUGACGGUACCUAACCAGAAAGCCACGGCUAACUACGUGCCAGCAGCCGCGGUAAUACGUAGGUGGCAAGCGUUAUCCGGAAUUAUUGGGCGUAAAGCGCGCGCAGGCGGUUUCUUAAGUCUGAUGUGAAAGCCCACGGCUCAACCGUGGAGGGUCAUUGGAAACUGGGGAACUUGAGUGCAGAAGAGAAAAGCGGAAUUCCACGUGUAGCGGUGAAAUGCGUAGAGAUGUGGAGGAACACCAGUGGCGAAGGCGGCUUUUUUGGUCUGUAACUGACGCUGUGGCGCGAAAGCGUGCGUGGACGCAAACAGGAUUAGAUACCCUGGUAGUCCACGCCGUAAACGAUGAGUGCUAAGUGUUAGAGGGUUUCCGCCCUUUAGUGCUGCAGCUAACGCAUUAAGCACUCCGCCUGGGGAGUACGGUCGCAAGACUGAAACUCAAAGGAAUUGACGGGGGCCCGCACAAGCGGUGGAGCAUGUGGUUUAAUUCGAAGCAACGCGAAGAACCUUACCAGGUCUUGACAUCCUCUGACAACUCUAGAGAUAGAGCGUUCCCCUUCGGGGGACAGAGUGACAGGUGGUGCAUGGUUGUCGUCAGCUCGUGUCGUGAGAUGUUGGGUUAAGUCCCGCAACGAGCGCAACCCUUGAUCUUAGUUGCCAGCAUUUAGUUGGGCACUCUAAGGUGACUGCCGGUGACAAACCGGAGGAAGGUGGGGAUGACGUCAAAUCAUCAUGCCCCUUAUGACCUGGGCUACACACGUGCUACAAUGGAUGGUACAAAGGGCUGCAAGACCGCGAGGUCAAGCCAAUCCCAUAAAACCAUUCUCAGUUCGGAUUGUAGGCUGCAACUCGCCUACAUGAAGCUGGAAUCGCUAGUAAUCGCGGAUCAGCAUGCCGCGGUGAAUACGUUCCCGGGCCUUGUACACACCGCCCGUCACACCACGAGAGUUUGUAACACCCGAAGUCGGUGGAGUAACCGUAAGGAGCUAGCCGCCUAAGGUGGGACAGAUGAUUGGGG
rnacentral:rRNA from 1 species